AACGAACGCUGGCGGCAUGCCUAACACAUGCAAGUCGAACGAGACCUUCGGGUCUAGUUGCGCACGGGUGCGUAACGCGGGGGAACCUGCCCUUAGGUUCGGAAUAACUGCCUGAAAGGGGUGUUAAUACCGCAUAAUGUCAUCGGACCAAAGAGUUAUCGCUUUUGGAUGGGGCCGCGUUGGAUUAGGUAGUUGGUAGGGUAAAAGCGUAUCAAGGCGACGUUCCAUAGCUGGUCUGAGAGGAUGAUCAGCCACACUGGCACUGAGACACGGCCCAGACUGGUACGGGAGGCAGCAGUGGGGUAUAUUGGACAAUGGGCGAAAGCCUGAUCCAGCAGUGCCGCGUAAGUGGUGAAGGCCUUAGGGUUGUAAAGCUCUUUUUGCCGGGAUGAUAAUGACAGUACCGGGAGAAUAAGCUCCGGCUAACUCCGUG
rnacentral:rRNA from 1 species